rnacentral:rRNA from 1 species
UACGUAGGGGUCGAGCGUUGUCCGGAGUUACUGGGCGUAAAGCGUGUGCAGGCGGCUCAUUGCGCCCGGCGUGAAAGCCCCCGGCUCAACCGGGGAGGGUCGUCGGGGACGGGUGAGCUUGAGGGUAUCAGGGGCUGGUGGAAUUCCCGGUGUAGUGGUGAAAUGCGUAGAGAUCGGGAGGAACACCCGUGGCGAAGGCGGCCAGCUGGGAUACACCUGACGCUGAGACACGAAGGCGUGGGGAGCGAACGGG